UAAUACGUAGGUGGCGAGCGUUGUCCGGAAUCAUUGGGCGUAAAGAGCGCGUAGGUGGCUUGUCAGGUCCGAUGUGAAAACCUGGGGCUCAACUCCAGGCCUGCAUCGGAAACCGGCUUGCUAGAGUCUGGGAGAGGAGAGUGGAAUUCCUGGUGUAGCGGUGAAAUGCGUAGAUAUCAGGAGGAACACCGGUAGCGAAGGCGGCUCUCUGGAACAGUACUGACGCUGAGGCGCGAAAGCUAGGGGAGCGAACAGG
rnacentral:rRNA from 1 species